CCCCCCGAAGCAGGUACUGGUCCUGUACCUGAACCGAGAAGACCUGGCUGCUGAUCCAGAGUACCACUCCCCACGUUCACUCCUGUGGGAAGCAUGGAGGACCUUCCCUUCCGGCCCCCUACUACCUGAUGACUGAUAGUGAUGCAGUACCUAGAGGGAAAGGUGAAAAGAACCCCGGGAGGGGAGUGAAAUACAACCUGGAACCGUGUGCCUACCACCGCUCAGAGCCCCUUAUCAGGGUGAUGAGGUGCUUUUUGUACAACGCGUCACCCAGUUACCGUCUGUAGCAAGGUUAACUACUUAAGGUACGGAGCCGAAGGGAAACCCAGUCUGAAUCGGGCGACUAGUUGCAUGCCGUACACCCCAAACCGGGUGACCAAUCCUUGCCCAGGUUGAAGCCAGGGUAAAACCUCGUGGAUGACCCAACCCCGUUGCUGUUGAAAAAGCAUGCGAUGAGCUGUCGAUAGUGGAGAAAUUCCAAUCGAUCCCGGAGAUAGCUGGUUCUCUCCAAAAUAACUUCAUGGCUCGCGUCGAGUAUGAGUAGUGGAAGUAGAGCCUGAAUGGGCUAGCGGGCAUAGACGCUUGCCUAACCUUUUCAAAUUACAAAUGCCACAUACUUCGAACUCGGCUGUCUGAGUCCGAAUGAUUAGAUCCGUGGUCAAAAGGGAAACAGCCCAGAUCGUCUGCUAAAGUCCCUCCUCGUAAGUCCACUGGGAAAGGAUGAGAGAUGUGUAAAACACCAGGAUGUCGGCUUAGAAGAGCCAUGCAUUGACAGAGUGCGUAGUAGGUCACAGGCUUAGAGAUCUUGCACCGAAAUGUACGAGUCUAGACUUACAUCGAAGCUAUGGACUUAACACAGCUCAGCAGUAUGACAGCGACUACAGGGCUG
rnacentral:rRNA from 1 species